rnacentral:lncRNA from 1 species
UCACUUUCAUGACAUAGUCUUGGAUGUUAUAUAGCAUGGGUUCUUCUGUAGCCAUAAGCUUACCCAGUGUGUUAGGCAUAAUACUAGCCCUCUAAAAUGUCCACAUCCUAAUCUCCAAACCUGUGAAUAUGUUACCUUACCUGGACUUUUCAGACCUGACUGAGUUAAAGACCUUGAGACAGGGAGAUUAUCCUGGAUUAUCCAGGUGGCCACAAUGUAAUCACAAGGAUCCUUACAAUCGGGAACCCGGAGGGUCAGAGUCAGAGAAGGAGAUGUGAUGCAGAAGCAGAGGGCAGAGUGAUGCUGGCCAUGAGCCAAGGAAUGCAGGCAGCCUCUAGAAAGUGGAAAAGGCAAGAAAACAGAUGCACCCUAGAGCCUCCAGAAAAGAUGCAGCCCUGCUCACAUCUUGAUUUUAUCCAGCAUCUAGGCUACAGAAACACAGAUUCAAAAGGAGAAAACAAGGCCAGGCGCAGUGGCUCACGCCUGUAAUCCCAGCAUUUUGGGAGACCAAGGCAGGUGGAUCACUUGACGUCAGGAGUUCCAGACCAGCCUGGCCAACAUGGUGAAACCCCAUCUCUACUAAAAAUACAAAAUUAGCCAGGCGUGGUGGCAGGUGCCUGUAAUCCCAGCUACUUGGGAGGCUGAGGCAGGAGAAUCGCUUGAACCUGGGAGGUGGAGGUUGCAGUGAGCCAAGAUUGUGCCACUGCACUCCAGCCUGGGCGACAGAGCAAGACUCUGUCUCAACAACAACAACAACAACAAAAAGGAAAAAAAAGGAGAGAGAAAAGAUAGACCCCUAUGUCUCAGUGGGAAGAGUGUCAGAAGUCACAUUCAAGAGCAUGUGGAAUGGAAGAUACUGUUGCAGCCAGCUUUGAAAAAUACAAUCUGCCACACUCUACCAGUAAUAGGUGGAUUAUAGCUUGAUAUUUGUGGGUCUCAGUCUCAUCUGUCAAAUGAGAGGAUUGAGUAUAAGGAUCACUAAUAUUCUGGACACCAAAGUUCCUGGUCCUGUGAGUGAAAGGGAGAUGUAGUAAUGCCAUGAGAAUUCCUAAUAAAUCAUGGCUGAUUUUCUAUUACUUGAUACUCACUGUCAUUUAUAUACUGCUCUGAAUGGGAUGGAUAUGGGAUGCCUGAACCAGAAAAGCUCAACAAAGAAAGCUGAUGAAUUCCCAAGAAGACAAGCCUCAAAAUAUGGGUUGUUUUGUUUUUGCAAAAUUUCCCGGCUACCUGACUUCAAGUUUAUAUUUUACAAAACCACACCGCAGUGGCUAAAGCACUUUAACAAAUCAUUUCAUCAAUUCCUCCUUGUUUAAGUAUCAAAAUGUUACUAAGAAGAUGCUUUUGUCUGUUAUUCCAGCAAUCUGAGUGCUGUACAGGAGCACACCAUCACACCAUCAUUCAUAAUUUUUUUUUUUUUUAGCAACGCACCUACUAUAAUCCAUAAUGUUUUGUUUGUUCGUUUGUUUGUUUGUUUGUUUUGCUUUUGCUUUUGGGUCUUGACCUCCAGCAACUCAUUUUUUGUGAUACUGGUUCUCAAGAUAUAAUUAAAACAUAAUUAAAGAUCAAGAAUAGAUGUCUUUCUGUUCUCUGGGACAUCCACAAACUAUGUAGCGUACAGUUUGCUAUUAAGGAUUUUAUGCUAAAGAGAAACAAAAUAGGAGGACUGUCUGUUGAAC